rnacentral:misc_RNA from 1 species
GAUGAAGAACGUAGCGAAAUGCGAUAAGUAAUGUGAAUUGCAGAAUUCAGUGAAUCAUCGAAUCUUUGAACGCACAUUGCGCCCGCCAGUAUUCUGGCGGGCAUGCCUGUUCGAGCGUCAUUACAACCCUCAGGCCCCCGGGCCUGGCGUUGGGGAUCGGCGGAAGCCCCCUGCGGGCACAACGCCGUCCCCCAAAUACAGUGGCGGUCCCGCCGCAGCUUCCAUUGCGUAGUAGCUAACACCUCGCAACUGGAGAGCGGCGCGGCCACACCGUAAAACACCCAACUUCUGAAUGUUGACCUCGAAUCAGGUAGGAAUACCCGCUGAACUUAAGCAUAUCAAUAAGCGGAGGA